GCAGAGGUGGUUCAGUGGUAGAAUUCUUGCCUCCCAUGCAGGAGACCUGAGUUCAAUUCCUAACCAAUGUA
rnacentral:tRNA from 1 species